rnacentral:ncRNA from 2 species
UUCUUAUCCAGAGAGGUUAAGGGAAUGGCCCGUUGACACCUCAGCAACCUUCAGCGAUUACGAGCUGAAAAGGUGCUAAGUCCAACAAGUUCGAUUGCAGAACUUGAAAGAUAAGAA